CUUAACUUGGGAAUUGCAUUCGAUACUGGGAAGCUAGAGUAUGGGAGAGGAUGGUAGAAUUCCAGGUGUAGCGGUGAAAUGCGUAGAGAUCUGGAGGAAUACCGAUGGCGAAGGCAGCCAUCUGGCCUAAUACUGACGCUGAGGUACGAAAGCAUGGGGAGCAAACAGGAUUAGAUACCCUGGUAGUCCAUGCCGUAAACGAUGUCUACUAGCCGUUGGGGCCUUUGAGGCUUUAGUGGCGCAGCUAACGCGAUAAGUAGACCGCCUGGGGAGUACGGUCGCAAGACUAAAACUCAAAUGAAUUGACGGGGGCCCGCACAAGCGGUGGAGCAUGUGGUUUAAUUCGAUGCAACGCGAAGAACCUUACCUGGUCUUGACAUAGUAAGAACUUUCCAGAGAUGGAUUGGUGCCUUCGGGAACUUACAUACAGGUGCUGCAUGGCUGUCGUCAGCUCGUGUCGUGAGAUGUUGGGUUAAGUCCCGCAACGAGCGCAACCCUUUUCCUUAUUUGCCAGCACUUCGGGUGGGAACUUUAAGGAUACUGCCAGUGACAAACUGGAGGAAGGCGGGGACGACGUCAAGUCAUCAUGGCCCUUACGACCAGGGCUACACACGUGCUACAAUGGUCGGUACAAAGGGUUGCUACCUAGCGAUAGGAUGCUAAUCUCAAAAAGCCGAUCGUAGUCCGGAUUGGAGUCUGCAACUCGACUCCGUGAAGUCGGAAUCGCUAGUAAUCGCGGAUCAGAAUGUCGCGGUGAAUACGUUCCCGGGCCUUGUACACACCGCCCGUCACACCAUGGGAGUUUGUUGCACCAGAAGUAGGUAGUCUAACCGUAGGGAGGAC
rnacentral:rRNA from 1 species